ACCGCCAUCAGCCACCGCCUCUCGCCGCCUAUAAAUAUAAGGCGAGCCCUCCCCUUUUCUCCACACAUCAACAGAGCCUCGAGCUCCCUUUCUCUCUCUCCAUCCAUGGCCGAUCGUCGACGCCGUCGGUCGAUCUCCCCAUCCGUAGCUCCACCUCCCCUAUCCUCGCGCCAUCGGCUUCGCCUCCAUCCGGAGAGUCCGUUUUUCCCCUUUCCCCUCUCCCUCCACCUUUAAGUGAAGCCACCACCGCAUUCAUCCAUGCCGGCUCGAGGUGAGCCCUUGCCGCCGCCGUUCCGGCUAUAUAUCUCUCACUCUCGGCCAGCCACCGACCUCCCCGGGUGCGCGUCGCUCGGGAACACGCGUGGCCGCUGCCGUCGAGGCCGUUCAUCCACCGGAGCAUCGGCGCCCCUCCUCUCCCUUCUCUCUGUUUGCUCGGCUGGAAGAGAAGAAGCAGAAGAAGGAAGGAGGAAGAAGAAAGAGAAAAGAAGAAGAAGAGACGAAGAACUGACAGUAGAGUCUAUUAUAUUUUGGAUGGCAACCGGUGGUAUUUCAAGGAUCGGACAAUCAGGUUGCGUAUCUCGGAUUUAUUUGCGUUGGAGCAAGGCAAGUUAUUAUUCCUCUCCUUGAGCAUAAUAAUCCUAUAUUCUAUAUCUCCAGUAUCUUGUGCAUUAGCCAUACAUGAUUCUAAAUGCAUAACCUGAAUAUAUAGCAAACCAGAUAUAUGCUAGAUUUUGCUUAGCCAUGCCUAGUUAGAUUACAUAAAAUAUAAUAAACUUAGAUUGGAACAGUACGGUAGAAAUGGUUGAUUUAUGGGUGGCUAGUACUGUUUCAACCGACAUAAAAUUGCCAAGUACAUGUGAAGAACAUACGAGUACGACCGCAAUUCUCGUAUGGGCAUAGACCUAGCUGAUUAAGUUAUCUAGCAAAGGUGGUACAUCUGUACAUUGGUUCUAUUUUAAGUCCUCGCGCAGGAGGCAAAUUUACACCGAGCAGGGCGAUUGUGAUAUUUACCGAGGCGUAGGUAAAUAUAUGAGAUUUAUUGAUGUCGACUUGUUUGUGAACCCUGAUUGCGAUGACAUGGUGUCAUACAAUCAGUUCUCUCUAAAGACCUCGGGAACGCCAGAACUCCUCUCGCUGUUGAUAACGUUACGUUCAGAGCGUAUGGGGACUAGAGUUCAUGGAACAGUUACCACUGAUGUUAGUAACCGAAAAGCUUUGCCAUGACAAGGCUAAUGUGUUUGGCACGUCAUGGAUUGCGGGUAAAGCGUACAUUUACUGCAGUAGAGUAUAAAUGAAUCUAUUCGAAUAGCCGUGCUCACGGAUUUGAGCAUUGGGACUCAUAUGGUAUUUGGUUAGAAACUUAAUUCUAAACUUUAUUAAAUACUGUUGCAUUUAAAA